rnacentral:sRNA from 1 species
UUGCAUCUGAGGCCAGUGAGGAUGAGAACCUCCGGGGGCAGGAGGUUCGACCCGAGCGAAGCGAGAGAACGUUGCGUCAGCAACGGCCCGCAGGGCGAGCCACGAAGUGGUGAGUCAUCCUCUAUCACCGACCA